rnacentral:tRNA from 1 species
GCGCCUAUAGCUCAAUUGGUUAGAGCAACCGACUCAUAAUCGGUGGGUUUCAGGUUCAAGUCCUGAUGGGCGCA